UUAUUCGCUACGAAUCUGAGAGCUACCCAUCCAUUUUUUGGAGUUAUGAACGUUGCUACAUAAGGAGGAUCAAUCAAAUUGAAGGUUUUUGAGUCCCUCUCGGCGAAGUAAUUCCCAAAACCAAAACCAAGCACAUAAAAGCUAUGUCCAUGCAGGUGCAUUGGAUGAUUCACGGAACCUCCCAUCACAUCAGUUCCUUGAAACCCCAUCUCAACUGUUUCAUUAUAUUCUAGCACCUUGACCUUUGUCCCUUGAACUGUUAACACUGGAUCUAGUGUCAUCGCUAUUGCAGUGAAGUUAAAAUAAACAGGCGGUUCAUCUGGGAAAUCUGUUUCAUAAACCGGCUCGCUUAUGUUGCUGCAUGCUUGCAAGAUAGAUUCCCUCGGAUUGACCCAACUAAUAUUAUUGACGCUUGCGGCAAAAGAUAUAUUGACGCAUGUGGGACCUAAAUCUGGAGUACAGUAAAGAGCGUUGGCGGAAGCUGUUAUGUACAUUUUGUGAUAUCACUCUCUUUUGGGACACUUAUAGGAUACUCUGGGGUGGCUAAGCUUCUGAUUUUUCUGUAGAAGUUGAAUGCUGGUGCUUGGGAUAAGGAAUCGGGAACCUGUUCGGGAAAUAAAGGAGCUUCUGAAGUGGUAUAGUUGCCAUUAUAUUCAAGGAUUGCAAUAGCAUCAUCGUCAGAUGCUGUAUCAACUGUAGCACUUAGGUAUUCUCUUCCGACCAUGUAAUAGCUCCCCAGAGCCGAAUUUGUGUUGAGCAACA
rnacentral:lncRNA from 1 species